GGAAUCUUAGGCACAGAACUGAGACAUCUUAGGUCUGUGGAUGAAAAGUCUCAAGGAAUAUUUGGGAUGAGGUUGGCUGUGAAGCUUAACUAAUGUUUGUUUACUGCUUUGAGAUACUUAGCAGAAGGACACUACAGAAAUACAAACCAUUUUUAAGGUAAACCUCCUAAGAAAAUAAAUGGAAGUCGAAGGCCUUGAAGACUGCUAAUCAGAGCAGAGAGAUGAAUGCAUGAAUUCUCCUCCUUCUAUCUCAGGGAGGGCAAGUGGGAGCCAAUCUUGAUGCAGGAUUUUUGCACCAAGUUCUUCCUCCUUCUGAAGGACAAGCAGAUUUUUUUUUCUUGCAAGACACCCAGAGCUCAGAAAUUCAAAGGUCAGAAGCAGGCCAAGGCACCCAGGGCAGUGCAGCUCAUGUGGAGACUGGUUGCUAGGAAACUGGAAGAGGCUCAGAGAGGAAACUACAAACAGAAUUAUGGAGCUUUUCCUAUCCCCUUCAGUGUCCUUGGAGUGGAUGCAUACUAGCUGUGACAAGUCGUAGCUGAGAAUUCUGUGUUUUAGCUCCAUUUUCUCGAGUUGCACACUAUUUACUGGAUCUGGCCUUUUGUGUAAAGGGAAUAGCGUUUCUUCAACUCCUUCAAAUCCUGCUGCUGAAGAACUGGUCACUCUGUAAAAUCUCAGAGUAUUUUGAAUAUAUACUAAGACCCUGCAGUGAACUCUCUGUGGAUGCAACCUGAGCAGACCCCCAUUGACUUCAGUAGAGUUGCAUGAAGACAAGGAUUCACCUGAAUGGAAAGUACUAAAAGAUGCUCUAGCCUGAACAAAGAAAAUUAUUAUGAGGUGCAAGGUUACUUCCCAAAAAGUCAAGCUAAAGCUUAUCAGAUUGGCAAAGGAUUACUUCAGUUACAGCCAUACAGAAGCACCUGAAUCAUUCUCAUGAUCAAGAUAUGAAGCCAAACUAUCAAGUUACUCCUGUUGUAUAUAUGGCCGUGAAAACAGAACUUAACCUUAGGCACAGUUAUUUGUCUGCAUUUCAUGUUGUUUUUUUUAACUUUUAUGAAUGCCUGAAAUCUUUCCCCAUGUGGCUAACACUCUGUUGGUUCCAUGCCAGAUAAGAAGCCCCAGUUUUGCUUUAUCACUUGAAAAAACAUUGAGACGAAAAAACAGCCUAUUCUCAAGAGAUGACAGCCUUCCACAUUUAUGCCAAGAAGAUUAAAGCUAGCAUGCUUCUGAUGACUAAGGAGAGAUUUUGGACAAUGCUUUCCAGAGGGAAUGUGCAUGAUAAAAUGCUCACUCAAGAACACUAUAAAUGAACAUGCAAUUGAAUAUAUGAAUAGGUGAAAAGACAAUGAUUUCAGAAGCUUAAUGCAUUGAGCAGUAGUGAUUGUGUGAGUAAGCCACUUACAGACUGCACUUGCAAGCAUUUACCUGUCUACUUUGAAGGCAGAAAGAUGUGACGCCUUUUUUACUCUAGUAUGGAAGAAAUGAAAGCGUAAACAAGGAAAGUCUUUAUAUAUCCCUAUAUAUUUUCUUCAAAAUAAUGUCUAUCAUUCUUUGCAACUUUGCAAUUUAAAUCUUACUUUGCAAACAGUGAACAAAAAAAUCUUUUCCAUUUCACCUAAAGAACACUGACAUUCCCCCCCCACCCCAAAAAACCUGACAAAUAAAUACCUGACAAAUAAACGUUUAGAACAAUGUGCAGAAUAGAAGCUAUUAAAAAGUCAACAAUAGGCCAAUUGUUCCGACGCAGUUAUG